rnacentral:rRNA from 1 species
UGGGGAAUAUUGCACAAUGGGCGCAAGCCUGAUGCAGCAACGCCGCGUGAACGAUGAAGGUCUUCGGAUCGUAAAGUUCUGUUGCAGGGGAAGAUAAUGACGGUACCCUGUGAGGAAGCCCUGGCUAAAUACGUGCCAGCAGCCGCGGUAAUACGUAUGGGGCGAGCGUUGUCCGGAAUUAUUGGGCGUAAAGGGUACGUAGGCGGUUUUUUAAGUCAGGUGUCAAAGCGUGGAGCUUAACUCCAUUAAGCACUUGAAACUGAAAGACUUGAGUGAAGGAGAGGAAAGUGGAAUUCCUAGUGUAGCGGUGAAAUGCGUAGAUAUUAGGAGGAAUACCGGUGGCGAAGGCGACUUUCUGGACUUUUACUGACGCUCAGGUACGAAAGCGUGGGGAGCAAACAGG